rnacentral:rRNA from 1 species
GCCUGAUCCAGCAAUGCCGCGUGUGUGAAGAAGGCCUUCGGGUUGUAAAGCACUUUUGUCCGGAAAGAAAUGGCUCUGGUUAAUACCUGGGGGCGAUGACGGUACCGGAAGAAUAAGGACCGGCUAACUACGUGCCAGCAGCCGCGGUAAUACGUAGGGUCCAAGCGUUAAUCGGAAUUACUGGGCGUAAAGCGUGCGCAGGCGGUUGUGCAAGACCGAUGUGAAAUCCCCGAGCUUAACUUGGGAAUUGCAUUGGUGACUGCACGGCUAGAGUGUGUCAGAGGGGGGUAGAAUUCCCCGUGUAGCAGUGAAAUGCGUAGAGAUGUGGAGGAAUACCGAUGGCGAAGGCAGCCCCCUGGGAUAACACUGACGCUCAUGCACGAAAGCGUGGGGAGCAAACAGGAUUAGAUACCCUGGUAGUCCACGCCCUAAACGAUGUCAACUAGUUGUUGGGGAUUCAUUUCCUUAGUAACGUAGCUUACGCGUGAAGUUGACCGCCUGGGGAGUACGGUCGCAAGAUUAAAACUCAAAGGAAUUGACGGGGACCCGCACAAGCGGUGGAUGAUGUGGAUUAAUUUUAUGCAACGCGAAAAACCUUACCUACCCUUGACAUG